AAAUUGAAGAGUUUGAUCAUGGCUCAGAUUGAACGCUGGCGGCAGGCCUAACACAUGCAAGUCGAGCGGUAGCACAGAGAGCUUGCUCUCGGGUGACGAGCGGCGGACGGGUGAGUAAUGUCUGGGAAACUGCCUGAUGGAGGGGA
rnacentral:rRNA from 1 species